UACGUAGGGUGCGAGCGUUAAUCGGAAUUACUGGGCGUAAAGCGUGCGCAGGCGGUUUUGUAAGCCAGAUGUGAAAUCCCCGGGCUCAACCUGGGAAUGGCAUUUGGGACUGCAAGGCUGGAGUGCGGCAGAGGAGACUGGAAUUCCUGGUGUAGCAGUGAAAUGCGCAGAUAUCAGGAGGAACACCGGUGGCGAAAGCGGGUCUCUGGGCAGUAACUGACGCUGAGGAGCGAAAGCGUGGGGAGCGAACAGG
rnacentral:rRNA from 1 species